rnacentral:rRNA from 1 species
AUUGAACGCUGGCGGCAUGCCUUCACAUGCAAGUCGAACGGUAACAGGUCUUCGGACGCUGACGAGUGGCGAACGGGUGAGUAAUACAUCGGAACGUGCCCAGUCGUGGGGGAUAACUACUCGAAAGAGUAGCUAAUACCGCAUACGAUCUGAGGAUGAAAGCGGGGGACCUUCGGGCCUCGCGCGAAUGGAGCGGCCGAUGGAAGAGUGGGUAGUUGGUGGAAUAAAAGCAUACCAAGCCGACUGUCUGUAGCUGGUAUGAGAGGACGACCAGCCACACUGGGACUGAGACACGGCCCAGACUCCUACGGGAGGCAGCAGUGGGGAAUUUUGGACAAUGGGCGAAAGCCUGAUCCAGCAAUGCCGCGUGCAGGAUGAAGGCCUUCGGGUUGUAAACUGCUUUUGUACGGAACGAAAAAGCUCCUUCUAAUACAGGGGGCCCAUGACGGUACCGUAAGAAUAAGCACCGGCUAACUACGUGCCAGCAGCCGCCGUAA